rnacentral:rRNA from 1 species
GAUGAACGCUGGCGGCGUGCCUAAUACAUGCAAGUCGAGCGAACGGACGAGAAGCUUGCUCCUCUGAUGUUAGCGGCGGACGGGUGAGUAACACGUGGAUAACCUACCUAUAAGACUGGGAUAACUUCGGGAAACCGUAGCUAAUACCGGAUAAUAUUUUGAACCGCAUGGUUCAAAAGUGAAAGACGGUCUUGCUGUCACUUAUAGAUGGAUCCGCGCUGCAUUAGCUAGUUGGUAAGGUAACGGCUUACCAAGGCAACGAUGCAUAGCCGACCUGAGAGGGUGAUCGGCCACACUGGAACUGAGACACGGUCCAGACUCCUACGGGAGGCAGCAGUAGGGAAUCUUCCGCAAUGGGCGAAAGCCUGACGGAGCAACGCCGCGUGAGUGAUGAAGGUCUUCGGAUCGUAAAACUCUGUUAUUAGGGAAGAACAUCUGUGUAAGUAACUGUGCACAUCUUGACGGUACCUAAUCAGAAAGCCACGGCUAACUACGUG